AGAGUUUGAUCAUGGCUCAGGAUGAACGCUAGCGGCAGGCUUAACACAUGCAAGUCGAGGGGUAACAGAGAAAAGCUUGCUUUUCUGCUGACGACCGGCGCACGGGUGCGUAACGCGUAUACAAUCUGCCUUAUACAGAGGGAUAGCCUUUAGAAAUGAAGAUUAAUACCUUAUAGUCUAUAUAUAUAGCAUUAUAUAAAUAGUAAAGCUUCGGUGGUAUAAGAUGAGUAUGCGUCCUAUUAGUUAGUUGGUGAGGUAACGGCUUACCAAGACAACGAUAGGUAGGGGCCCUGAGAGGGGGAUCCCCCACACUGGUACUGAGACACGGACCAGACUCCUACGGGAGGCAGCAGUGAGGAAUAUUGGACAAUGGAGGCAACUCUGAUCCAGCCAUGCCGCGUGCAGGAAGACGGCCCUAUGGGUUGUAAACU
rnacentral:rRNA from 1 species